GAGAAUUCUUGCACAACAUGCUGUAAGUUUUUAGUUAUAGGAUAUUAUAAUGGUCAACAUAGCCAACCAUAACUAAUAUGGAUUAAUGCUUAGUUGAGUAUGUAUGAACACCCAUGUAUCUGUUAUGUGUGUGUGUGUUUUGAUGACUCAAGAUUGUUGUUGAUGACUCUGCUCAGUAAAAAUCAAUUCCUUAGAUCAAAAAGAGAAAGUUGCAAGUAAUAUUCAUAACAUUUAUCAUCGAUUGCUUUCUUUAUCCUAAGAAAUUAGAAUGCUUUCUUUGUCCUAAGAAAUUAGAAAUUGGUUUGGCAUAUUUAAUGUGCACAUGUGUAUAUUUUUCAUCCUGUUAUGUUGUUACCAUCCUUCAUGGGUGGUAAAGUGAGCUGCCCGUUAAUACUAAUUUAGAUAGUAUUAUUUUGUUCAUGAUAUCUACCUAGUGGAGUCCACGUGAUGUAUAACAAAAGGAAGAAGAAUAAAGAACUAGGAAAAAUCAAGGACCAAUCCUUGA
rnacentral:misc_RNA from 1 species